GGUAUGCCUUUGAAACUUAUCUAGCUACAGAAAGCCCUUUCCUUUCAUUUUCGGGAACUUUAAUUUUUUUAACAGCAUAGUCGUCUUUAUUAAUGUUAUUGAUUGUUUCUAGUCUGUUCUUUAGAUAACUUGUAUUAGGUCUUGGUUGCUAACAUUUAAAAAGCUGAUAGGUUCCUUAUGCUGCUGCUAUGCUCUCCAUUUUGUUUGUGUUUUCACAACCAUGCGUGAGUUUCUUACUUCAUUUCUCAUCAUGAAGUUCUUAUUAGUUCAAUUUCUGAAUAUCAUUUUUAAAAUGAUUUGCAGAUGCGGACCAUUGUA
rnacentral:misc_RNA from 1 species